AGGUACAUGUCAAAAAAGUGCUGCUAGCUAAAAUUACCGACACUUUUAAAAAGUGUUGCUAUAUGUGGGGUCGCUAGGUAUAUAGUGACAGUUAAAGAGUGUCGCUAUAACCUAAAAGAGUGCUGCUAAUUUACCAACAACUUAUUUAAGCAUUUAGCAACCGCCGAAACUCUAUCUCGUUGGUUGCGGUGGCGGAGGAGGACAACAGGAAUGACUCUUCGUCUAGAAUUUCAGUGGAUUGAGUGAAGAGAGAAGAAAAUAUGGUAAUUGAUUUUUCUUUUUUUUUUUUUCUUUUCUGUUUGUAAUCGGGCCAAAUGGACUGGGUGUGGUGGGUUGAGUAGAGUAAUCUUUUAUUUUUGGUUGGAUUAGGCUUUAUUUUUAGGCAUUAGUAGAUGUUUCUUUAAGUUUUAGCAUAAAUGGGACACUUACUCAAAAGUGUCCCAAACAUGUGUCCCUAUAACCUAAUUCUGUUGUAGUGUUGUAUGCACAAAAUGUAAGAUUUACAUACUUUUUUUUGUAUAUAUUAUCAUAUCGUUGGCAUUAAUUAUUAAUUUCAAAAGUUCGAACUCUUUUUUUUUUUUUUUUUUGAGAGAGAGAGAGAUAGAUAGCACGCUACCCGCUUCGUUUUUUUCAUUUAGAAACAAACUUAGCUGGAAAUGUGAAUCUCAACUAGGAUUCGAGCUUAGGACAUCGGAUUCGAACGGUUAAAAAUAUGCAAUCAAUUUACUUAAAGCGUACAGACACAGCAUCUAUGAAUCUCGAUUGUGACUCUGCUUUACCAGCCUUACACCAUUUUGAACAUGACUUGCCCUAAUUCUGCUUAUCGCUAUAGAGCAGGAUGCUGGCCUUUUAAGUCUACGCAUAGGUAGCAUUGCUCUAUAUAACUUUACCUUUA
rnacentral:lncRNA from 1 species